rnacentral:rRNA from 1 species
GAUGAACGCUAGCUACAGGCUUAACACAUGCAAGUCGAGGGGUAACAAGAGAAAAGCUUGCUUUUCUUGUUGACGACCGGCGCACGGGUGAGUAACGCGUAUCCAACCUGCCUAUAACUAGGGAAUAACCUUGCGAAAGUAAGACUAAUACCCUAUGAUUUCCUUUGAUGACAUCAGAUUAGGAAUAAAGAUUUAUCGGUUAUAGAUGGGGAUGCGUCUGAUUAGCUUGUUGGCGGGGUAACGGCCCACCAAGGCAACGAUCAGUAGGGGUUCUGAGAGGAAGGUCCCCCACAUUGGAACUGAGACACGGUCCAAACUCCUACGGGAGGCAGCAGUGAGGAAUAUUGGUCAAUGGGCGGAAGCCUGAACCAGCCAAGUAGCGUGCAGGAUGACGGCCCUAUGGGUUGUAAACUGCUUUUAUACAGGAAUAAAGUUAGCCACGUGUGGUUAUUUGUAGGUACUGUAUGAAUAAGGACCGGCUAAUUCCGUGCCAGCCGCCGCAGUAAGAC